rnacentral:rRNA from 1 species
ACGCUGGCGGCACGCCUAACACAUGCAAGUCGAACGAAGUAGUAAUACUUAGUGGCAGACGGGUGAGUAACAUGUAGGUAUCUGCCCUUUGGCCUGGAAUAACACGAGGAAACUUGUGCUAAUACCGGAUAAGUCUUUACGGAGAAAGCUUUAUGCACCAUUGGAUGAGCCUGCACUUGAUUAGUUUGUUGGUGGGGUAAUGGCCUACCAAGACUGUGAUCAAUAGCUGAUUUGAGAGGAUGAUCAGCCACAUUGGGACUGAGACACGGCCCAGACUCCUACGGGAGGCAGCAGUGGGGAAUCUUGCACAAUGGAGGAAACUCUGAUGCAGCGAUGCCGCGUGAGUGAAGAAGGCCUUUGGGUUGUAAAGCUCUUUCGUCGGGGAAGAAAAUGACUGUACCCGAAUAAGAAGGUCCGGCUAACUUCGUGCCAGCAGCCGCGGUAAUACGAAGGGACCUAGCGUAGUUCGGAAUUACUGGGCUUAAAGAGUUCGUAGGUGGUUGAAAAAGUUAGUGGUGAAAUCCCAGAGCUUAACUCUGGAACUGCCAUUAAAACUUUUCAGCUAGAGUAUGAUAGAGGAAAGCAGAAUUUCUAGUGUAGAGGUGAAAUUCGUAGAUAUUAGAAAGAAUACCAAUUGCGAAGGCAGCUUUCUGGAUCAUUACUGACACUGAGGAACGAAAGCAUGGGUAGCGAAGAGGAUUAGAUACCCUCGUAGUCCAUGCCGUAAACGAUGUGUGUUAGACGUUGGAAAUUUAUUUUCAGUGUCGCAGCGAAAGCGAUAAACACACCGCCUGGGGAGUACGACCGCAAGGUUAAAACUCAAAUGAAUUGACGGGGACCCGCACAAGUAGUGGAGCAUGUGGUUUAAUUCGAAGAUACGCGCAGAACCUUACCAACACUUGACAUGUUCGUCGCGACUCUAAGAGAUUAGAGUUUUCGGUUCGGCCGGACGAAACACAGGUGCUGCAUGGCUGUCGUCAGCUCGUGUCGUGAGAUGUUGGGUUAAGUCCCGCAACGAGCGCAACCCUCACUUUUAGUUGCCAUCAUUAAGUUGGGCACUCUGAAAGAACUGCCAGUGAUAAGCUGGAGGAAGGUGGGGAUGACGUCAAGUCCUCAUGGCCCUUACGUGUUGGGCUACACACGUGCUACAAUGGUAUCUACAACAGGAAGCAAAACUGCGAAGUUAAGCAAAUCCCUAAAAGAUACCUCAGUUCGGAUUGCACUCUGCAACUCGAGUGCAUGAAGCUGGAAUUACUAGUAAUCGUGGAUCAGCGUGCCACGGUGAAUGCGUUCCCGGGUCUUGUACACACCGC